AAAUAGUACCAAAGAAUGGUUUCCUAAAGAGUCUACGCCGGAGAGAGCAGAAACUACAAGAGAACAACUAAUGCAAGAGAGUCCUGGAAUAAUGACAAGAAGGUACAUAUUUCAUGUUUGUCACCAUGCAUACAUUGUGUUGAAAACAAGUGAAUUUUGAUAAAUAUAUGGUUACAUAUGCAGACGUCUUGGAAUUUUGAUGGGAGAGGUGACAACACAUGAGGCUUCUUCUUCGUAGGCUUUAGAGACUACGACAACAGCUCCAAGAAAGAUGACUCCAAGAAAGGCGAAGAGAAAGUUGUGAAAUUGACUUUUUAAAGACACUUAGAGAAAGAUGUUAGUGCAGCAAUAAACUGUUAGUGAAAUUGUCUUUUACAUAUGCAGAUGUCUUGGAACUAGUAGUUAUUUUUUGUCACAGACAUUAUAGUUAUACAUUGUCAGGUUCGUAGAAUGAUAGCAGGACCACUAUGAAUAUAUGCUGCCAUUGUUUCAAGACUGUAAGCCAUUGUUUUCUAUGGGGUCAUUCUUUCUCCUUUGAAAUGAUAAUUUGAAAGGAUAUUGUACAUUGUCAGGUUCAUUCUUUCUCCUUUUACAGAGGCAUGAGGCCAAGUACUUUUAUUCUGCUGGGUACAGAGGCAUGAGGCCAAGUAGUUUUAGCAUUAGCAUUGCUCUUGGGUCAUUUUUCUCUUUAUAUCGGACAGUACUCUGCUGGAUACAGAGGCUUCUCAGAUUGCUUGCAAGAGAUCUGCCUCAUGUUCAGGUUGCUCGCAGGGUUCUCACCGCUGCUUGAUUUGGCGUGCAGGGAUCUGCUCUUAUUCUGUGAACAAACCGGACAGUACUCUCUGAAGAAACGAACCAACAGAUGCAAAUUGGGAAGGGGGCAAUACAGUCAGAUUAUUAGGUGAGGAAAAGGAAAUAAUUAGAAAACAGGUUAGAAUACUAUUUUAGAGAGCAAUAACACUUAUAAAUACUAUUAUAGAGAAGGUUAUAUUUAGAGUACCAUAAGAAAGAAACAUGUUAAUAAGAGU
rnacentral:lncRNA from 1 species